rnacentral:misc_RNA from 1 species
AAGGAGUCUAACAUGUAUGCGAGUAUUUGGGUGGCAAACCCUUAUGCGUAAUGAAAGUGAAACGGGUGGGAUAUUUGCACAAUCGACCGGCCUGGAUUUCUUUGAAAUGUCUGAGUAAGAGCAUAUAUGCUGGGACCCGAAAGAUGGUGAACUAUGCCUGAGUAGGGUGAAGCCAGUGGAAACUCUGGUGGAGGCUCGUAGCGAUUCUGACGUGCAAAUCGAUCGUCAGAUUUGGGUAUAGGGGCGAAAGACUAAUCGAACCAUCUAGUAGCUGGUUCCCUC